GGAUGGAUUUCCGAGUGGCCAAAGGGGGCAGACUGUAAAUCUGUUAGCAACGCUUUCGAAGGUUCGAAUCCUUCUCCAUCCA
rnacentral:tRNA from 1 species